rnacentral:rRNA from 1 species
GACGAACCGAGCGAACGUUGUUCGGAAUCACUGGGCUUAAAGGGCGCGUAGGCGGGUGCUCAAGUCUGUGGUGAAAUCCUCCGGCUCAACCGGAGAACUGCCAUGGAUACUGGGUGUCUCGAGGGUGGUAGGGGAGACUGGAAUUCCUGGUGUAGCGGUGAAAUGCGCAGAUAUCAGGAGGAACACCGGUGGCGAAGGCGGGUCUCUGGGCCGAUACUGACGCUGAGGAGCGAAAGCGUGGGGAGCGAACAGG